rnacentral:rRNA from 1 species
AAACGCAGGAGGCAAGCGUUAUCCGGAUUUACUGGGCGUAAAGCGCGUGCAGGCGGCAUGGCAAGUUGGAUGUGAAAGCUCCCGGCUUAACUGGGAGAGGUCGUUCAAUACUGCCAGGCUUGAGAGUGGUAGAGGGAAGCGGAAUUCCGGGUGUAGUGGUGAAAUGCGUAGAUAUCCGGAGGAACACCAGUGGCGAAAGCGGCUUCCUGGCCCAUUUCUGACGCUCAGACGCGAAAGCUAGGGUAGC